rnacentral:misc_RNA from 1 species
CCGAGUGCCAGCCCCUCGCGGGCUGAACCUCCCAGCCCUUGUCUCUGAUACACCCUGUUGCUUUGGCGGGCCCACCGGGGUCCUCCCCGGUCGCCGAGGGGCAUCCCGCCCCUGGGCCCGUGCCCGCCGGAGCGCCCAUGAACCCGAAUGAAGAUGGAUUGUCUGAGUGUGGGAUGAGAAUUGUCA